rnacentral:rRNA from 1 species
AGUGAACGCUGGCGGUAGGCCUAACACAUGCAAGUCGAACGGCAGCACAGUAAGAGCUUGCUCUUACGGGUGGCGAGUGGCGGACGGGUGAGGAAUACAUCGGAAUCUACUUUUUCGUGGGGGAUAACGUAGGGAAACUUACGCUAAUACCGCAUACGACCUACGGGUGAAAGCAGGGGAUCUUCGGACCUUGCGCGAUUGAAUGAGCCGAUGUCGGAUUAGCUAGUUGGCGGGGUAAAGGCCCACCAAGGCGACGAUCCGUAGCUGGUCUGAGAGGAUGAUCAGCCACACUGGAACUGAGACACGGUCCAGACUCCUACGGGAGGCAGCAGUGGGGAAUAUUGAACAAGGGGCGCAAGCCUGAUCCAGCCAUACCGCGGUGGUGAAGAAGGCCUUCGGGUUGUAAAGCCCUUUUGUUGGGAAAGAAAAGCAGCAGGUUAAUACCCCGCUGUUCUGACGGUACCCAAAGAAUAAGCACCGGCUAACUUCGU